rnacentral:rRNA from 1 species
AUGCAUGGACUUGAAGGGCUUUUCUGUAAAACUGUCAAUUCCCUGGAAAUUAGGAAAUUCAUAGAUAAGGGGAAAAAACGGAGCAGGCCAAAACUGGCUGGGCGGUGGGCUGUGGUUUUCUCACCAUUGGGCCUAACAGGCCGGUACAAUGGAGAGGCUGGCGGGGCUCUGCUGGGCCUCGGGUGGGACACGGCCCAAGCGCGGGUCAACAUGAGCGAGCAGGAUUUGUCGCUGGCGCGGUCAACAGGCGUGGCUGGACCGAGCGAGCGAAGGCAGGGGCGUCCUCUUCCCUGGUUCGAAAGAAACGGAGGCAGGGCAGGGCUCGGCGCUCUGGUAGUUGCUGAAGACGAAGAGGAAACCGAGCCCAGCGUGGAGCGCCGGUGA